GAAAAACGUUUUCACAACUUACACUCACAAAAGAAAGAAAGAAAACGCGAAUAUAUUGACAAUUGUGUACCUACUGUUUAAUACUAAAAGCUAGUCGGGCAUUCCGAGAAAGGUAUACGCUCCGCGGCUCCGCAGAAGGAUCGUAGGAGUGCGUCGCAGCACAAGGCUGAUCGGGCAGUAAUUCGAUUCCCGAGCGAUUUCAAAAGCCACGUAGACAAUCAAGACAGGUUGAUAACAUGAAACAAACACAGGUAGAAGUAUAUAUUACACCAAUGUAAAGAAUUAAAAUAAACCAAC